rnacentral:rRNA from 1 species
UACGAAGGGGGCUAGCGUUGCUCGGAAUCACUGGGCGUAAAGCGCACGUAGGCGGCUUCUUAAGUCGGGGGUGAAAUCCUGGAGCUCAACUCCAGAACUGCCUUCGAUACUGGGAGCUCGAGUCCGGGGAGAGGUGAGUGGAACUGCGAGUGUAGAGGUGAAAAUUCGUAGAUAUUCGCAAGAACACCAGUGGCGAAGGCGGCUCACUGGCCCCGGUACUGACGCUGAGGUGCGAAAGCGUGGGGAGCAAACAGG